AAACGUUUUGAUGGUCAUAGAUAUAGAAGCACCUGAGAAAUAGAUAUACAAUAUACCACAAGGAUGCCCAAGUACACACUAAAUUUGGCUUCCUUGGUAUUAAAUUACUAGGAGAUGUAGCUUCUUCAUUGCAACUCCUCUAUAUUAACACAAUUUGACAAUCGAAUACAACAACAUUACUGUGACUUCCUUGUGCCUAUAAUGUUUUAGGGCAACUCUCUGUUGAAGUAGUUAUUCAUGAACGUUGGUUUUCGCGUUUCUGUUUCCUCCACUCCCAUGGCAUUUCAGGAUUUCUGGAUGCCCACAGGCCAAUUCGUUUUGCUCGAGCUUCUUUCUCCCACUUAUCUAACUCUGGACGCUUGUCAUACGCAGUAUAGUGCCAGGCCAAGCCCUUCUUUAACAUCACUUCCUGUGCAAAUAUGCCAUUG
rnacentral:misc_RNA from 1 species